GGACUACAGGGGUAUCUAAUCCUGUUUGCUCCCCACGCUUUCGCGCCUCAGCGUCAGUAUCGGGCCAGUGAGUCGCCUUCGCCACUGGUGUUCUUCCGAAUAUCUACGAAUUUCACCUCUACACUCGGAGUUCCACUCACCUCUCCCGAACUCAAGAUAUCCAGUAUUAAAGGCUGUUCCAGGGUUGAGCCCUGGGCUUUCACCUCUAACUUAAAUAUCCGCCUACGCGCCCUUUACGCCCAGUAAUUCCGAGCAACGCUAGCCCCCUUCGUAUUACCGCGGCUGCUGGCAC
rnacentral:rRNA from 1 species